AUUGAACGCUGGCGGCAUGCCUUACACAUGCAAGUCGAACGGCAGCACGGGAGCAAUCCUGGUGGCGAGUGGCGAACGGGUGAGUAAUAUAUCGGAACGUGCCCAGUCGUGGGGAUAACGUAGCGAAAGCUACGCUAAUACCGCAUACGAUCUAUGGAUGAAAGCGGGGGAUCGCAAGACCUCGCGCGAUUGGAGCGGCCGAUAUCAGAUUAGGUAGUUGGUGAGGUAAAGGCUCACCAAGCCGACGAUCUGUAGCUGGUCUGAGAGGACGACCAGCCACACUGGGACUGAGACACGGCCCAGACUCCUACGGAGGCAGCAGUGGGGAAUUUUUGGGACAAUGGGCGCAAGCCUGAUCCAGCAAUGCCGCGUGCAGGAUGAAGGCCUUCGGUU
rnacentral:rRNA from 1 species